GUUAGCGGCGGACGGGUGAGUAACACGUGGGUAACCUGCCUGUAAGACUGGGAUAACUCCGGGAAACCGGGGCUAAUACCGGAUGCUUGUUUGAACCGCAUGGUUCAAACAUAAAAGGUGGCUUCGGCUACCACUUACAGAUGGACCCGCGGCGCAUUAGCUAGUUGGUGAGGUAAUGGCUCACCAAGGCAACGAUGCGUAGCCGACCUGAGAGGGUGAUCGGCCACACUGGGACUGAGACACGGCCCAGACUCCUACGGGAGGCAGCAGUAGGGAAUCUUCCGCAAUGGACGAAAGUCUGACGGAGCAACGCCGCGUGAGUGAUGAAGGUUUUCGGAUCGUAAAGCUCUGUUGUUAGGGAAGAACAAGUACCGUUCGAAUAGGGCGGUACCUUGACGGUACCUAACCAGAAAGCCACGGCUAACUACGUGCCAGCAGCCGCGGUAAUACGUAGGUGGCAAGCGUUGUCCGGAAUUAUUGGGCGUAAAGGGCUCGCAGGCGGUUCCUUAAGUCUGAUGUGAAAGCCCCCGGCUCAACCGGGGAGGGUCAUUGGAAACUGGGGAACUUGAGUGCAGAAGAGGAGAGUGGAAUUCCACGUGUAGCGGUGAAAUGCGUAGAGAUGUGGAGGAACACCAGUGGCGAAGGCG
rnacentral:rRNA from 2 species